UAUAUAUGUUCUUAGAAUAUUUUAAUUAACAUUUUUUCUACUCCAUACUGUGUACAAAAAUUUUUAAAUGCUUAUCGAUAACACGAAAGUAUAGGUUAAGAACGAUGAAAUAAAAUGUAAAGUUUCACUGUUUGCUACACUGCUAAUCGAUUAAUUGUUGAUUGAAGUUAACCAAGCUUAGUUGAAGUGGCCUUAAAAAUGUGCUUUGGUUAUUGAUGUUAUUAUUAUUUAGCGAAAAGAGUAUAAUAUAGUUGGUUGGACAAGAAAAACAAGAGAGGGACAAAACUUUGACUGUGCUGGUUUGUUGAGAGAACACGGAUGAUCGUCUUAAGAACCAAUAGCUCAUUGCACGAGGGUAGGCUUCGGUGUGACAAUCGAUCGUCACGUUGGUACCAGCUGGUGCUCCGACCAAUUGAUUUGGUACGAAAAUCAUUGGAUGACUUUCGGUGCAAGAUAGUCUACAGUGGGAAACGAGUUGGAAACAAAGUCAAUUAUCGUUUGCUCGGGACUCGGAUUGCGAACAUGCUCGAGUUAAAGUCGAACGAUACGAUGUCCCAAGGAUUGUUGUGUUUCUUCUUUUCUUUCUCUUUCUUGCCUUAACGUUGGUUCUUAUACAAUUCGAGUGAUGGAAAAAGUCCGUAGAUGGUUGACCUUUCGUAUUUUGUAAAACGAUAUUCAACGACGAUUUCUUUCGAUCUUUUCUUCUUCUUCGUCGUCUUCUUCUUCUUCUUCUUCUUCUUCUUUCUCUUUCUUUUCUUUCACGUUUGUUUUUAGAGACAUUUGGACUUUGGAAAAUGGUACUGGAAGGUCCAAAAAGGAUUUUCUUUGACGUAUCAUUGUAAUAAAGGAACUCCCAUUUUCAUAAUUGUAUCUGAACUGUUAAAAGAAUAUAACGAAAGUGUCGUACCAUUUUCUUUCGAAAUAUCAACUCGAUUAAUCGUUAUAAAAUAUUUGA